rnacentral:ncRNA from 2 species
GCGUCACAUUCCGAGUCGGGCCUGACGCCCGCGCCAACCUGCCUCACCGGGGCAAGGUGGUCUGCCCAGUGCGAUGUGGCCUUUCGAGGCAACCAAGCCGGCAGCA